UAAAGAUUCAUCGCUGAUAGAUAGGCAUGCGUUCCAUUAGGCAGUUGGCGGGGUAACGGCCCACCAAACCGACGAUGGAUAGGGGUUCUGAGAGGAAGGUCCCCCACAUUGGUACUGAGACACGGACCAAACUCCUACGGGAGGCAGCAGUGAGGAAUAUUGGUCAAUGGGCGUAAGCCUGAACCAGCCAAGUCGCGUGAGGGAUGAAGGUUCUAUGGAUCGUAAACCUCUUUUAUAAGGGAAUAAAGUGCGGGACGUGUCCCGUUUUGUAUGUACCUUAUGAAUAAGGAUCGGCUAACUCCGUGCCAGCAGCCGCGGUAAUACGGAGGAUCCGAGCGUUAUCCGGAUUUAUUGGGUUUAAAGGGUGCGUGGGCGGCCUUUUAAGUCAGCGGUGAAAGUCUGUGGCUCAACCAUAGAAUUGCCGUUGAAACUGGGAGGCUUGAGUAUGUUUGAGGCAGGCGGAAUGCGUGGUGUAGCGGUGAAAUGCUUAGAUAUCACGCAGAACCCCGAUUGCGAAGGCAGCCUGCCAAGCCAUGACUGACGCUGAUGCACGAAAGCGUGGGGAUCAAACAGGAUUAGAUACCCUGGUAGUCCACGCAGUAAACGAUGAUCACUAGCUGUUUGCGAUACACAGUAA
rnacentral:rRNA from 1 species